GUCACUUGGCUGAAGAGAGUCAGCAGUGAACAUGCUGUGCUACUGUCCAGGGCUUGAGGAAGAAGCCUCAGGAUCCCACACAGCGAAAGCACUUGGGAACGGAUGAGAGGAUGGAUGACUAAGGCCAGACACUACAGGCCACUCACCAGGAACCACCCAGUCCUCAUGGGCAGCACAGGGCAGGUCUCACCACACCCAGAGACCUCGGGGCCUGAGAUGAGAGGGACCCCAGGGCAGGUCUCCCUCAACCUGGCCACCAGGCACUCUGAGACACUGAGUCCAGAACAAGAACAUUUAGGCCUGCCCACCACUGCUCCUUACAUUCACCUUGGACCUCACAGCAAGUAUUUUCCUCAACUGGCUUCACUAGUUGUGGAUAAGCAGCAGUGCAAGAGGAGUCCAGGAGAGGUACAGACACUGAGGAAACCUUGGCUACAUGAGCUACAGCCUGAGGAGAGAAAGAUCAGCACAGACACCUACUAUCCCUCACUUCUCAGCUGUAGGGUCAGCUCCAGCCCAAGCUGAAGACCCAUCAGCAGAGCACAUGCCAGUUCCACCUGCAGCUGCAUCCCCAGCUCUGGCACCACAGACAUACCAAGCACCAGGAAUCCCUUCUUCUCCAGCUGCACAGCUGGGGCAAAUGGUGGCUCCUCAGCAGGUGUCAGCUCCUGACCUCCCCUUAGGGCCAGCUCCUGCCCCACA